AGGGGGAAAGUGGGGGAUCGUAAGACCUCACGUUAUUCGAGCGGCCGACGUCUGAUUAGCUAGUUGGUGGGGUAAUGGCUCACCAAGGCGACGAUCAGUAGCGGGUCUGAGAGGAUGAUCCGCCACACUGGGACUGAGACACGGCCCAGACUCCUACGGGAGGCAGCAGUGGGGAAUUUUGGACAAUGGGGGCAACCCUGAUCCAGCCAUUCCGCGUGAGUGAAGAAGGCCUUCGGGUUGUAAAGCUCUUUCAGCUGGAACGAAACGGUACGCUCUAACAUAGCGUGCUAAUGACGGUACCGGCAGAAGAAGCACCGGCUAACUACGUGCCAGCAGCCGCGGUAAUACGUAGGGUGCGAGCGUUAAUCGGAAUUACUGGGCGUAAAGCGUGCGCAGGCGGAUUGUUAAGCAAGAUGUGAAAUCCCCGGGCUUAACCUGGGAAUGGCAUUUUGAACUGGCAGUCUAGAGUGUGUCAGAGGGGGGUGGAAUUCCACGUGUAGCAGUGAAAUGCGUAGAGAUGUGGAGGAACACCGAUGGCGAAGGCAGCCCCCUGGGAUAACACUGACGCUCAUGUACGAAAGCGUGGGUAGCAAACAGGAUUAGAUACCCUGGUAGUCCACGCCCUAAACGAUGUCAACUGGUUGUUGGGGGAGUGAAAUCCCUUAGUAACGAAGCUAACGCGUGAAGUUGACCGCCUGGGGAGUACGGUCGCAAGAUUAAAACUCAAAGGAAUUGACGGGGACCCGCACAAGCGGUGGAUGAUGUGGAUUAAUUCGAUGCAACGCGAAAAACCUUACCUACCCUUGACAUGUCCAGAAUCCUGCAGAGAUGCGGGAGUGCCCGAAAGGGAAUUGGAACACAGGUGCUGCAUGGCUGUCGUCAGCUCGUGUCGUGAGAUGUUGGGUUAAGUCCCGCAACGAGCGCAACCCUUAUCAUUAGUUGCUACGCAAGGGCACUCUAAUGAGACUGCCGGUGACAAACCGGAGGAAGGUGGGGAUGACGCCAAGUCCUCAUGGCCCUUAUGGGUAGGGCUUCACACGUCAUACAAUGGUCGGUAUAGGGUUGCCAAGCCGCGAGGUGGAGCCAAUCCCAGAAAGCCGAUCGUAGUCCGGAUUGUUCUCUGCAACUCGAGAGCAUGAAGUCGGAAUCGCUAGUAAUCGCGGAUCAGCAUGUCGCGGUGAAUACGUUCCCGGGUCUUGUACACACCGCCCGUCACACCAUGGGAGUGGAAUCUGCCAGAAGUAGGUAGCCUAACCGCAAGGAGGGCGCUUACCACGGUGGGUUUCAUGACUGGGGUGAAGUCGAACAAGGUA
rnacentral:rRNA from 1 species